UUGUCACUCACAACUUGUUGACAAAUUGUUGAAUUGCAGGACGAUAACAAGUUGUUGGAACAACUUGUAACAAGUCUGUUGAGCUCAACAACCUUGUAGCAAGUUGUCAACAAGUCGUUGACAACUUGUCAACAAGCUGGGAACAAGCAGUGCGAACACAUCCUGUUGGCAAGUUGUUGGAACAGCAUUGCUACAAGUCUGCUGCAGGUUUGUUACAACUUGUGCGUUUUUACGCGUGUAUAAAGAGCUGGUACUGACAAUGGUCAAUCUGCGAACCGUGUACUGUGCAUUAUUAUACACGUGCAAAGCGCAAGGCUGAAUUAACAACGAAAUAUUAGAAACGUAACGUUAAGAU